rnacentral:rRNA from 1 species
UGCGGAGGAUCCAAGCAUUAUCCGGAUUUAUUGGGUUUAAAGGGUGCGUAGGCGGCUUGUUAAGUUAGAGGUGAAAUACCGGAGCUCAACUCCGGAACUGCCUCUGAUACUGGCAUGCUAGAGUAUAGUUGCUGUGGGCGGAAUGUAUGGUGUAGCGGUGAAAUGCUUAGAGAUCAUACAGAACACCGAUUGCGAAGGCAGCUCACAAAGCUAUAACUGACGCUGAGGCACGAAAGCGUGGGGAGCAAACAGG